rnacentral:lncRNA from 1 species
GAGAAGAGCACCAUCAAGAUUGAGGAGGUUAUUUCUGCACUACUCCAAAAUGAAAUCCUCAGGAGGGACAAUCAAGCCUCGAGUUCAGGUGGUGACUCAGCUUAGGCAAUGACUGAAGGUAGUGGUGGCAGAAGAUGAAGCAACAAAGAAUUGCAACAUGGACGGUCCAAGUCUAAGAUGAGUAACUCAAGCAAGAUUAGGUUUUACCAAUGUGAUGAGUUGGGGC